rnacentral:rRNA from 1 species
GUGGGGAAUAUUGCACAAUGGGGGAAACCCUGAUGCAGCGACGCCGCGUGAGCGAAGAAGUAUCUCGGUAUGUAAAGCUCUAUCAGCAGGGAAGAAAAUGACGGUACCUGACUAAGAAGCUCCGGCUAAAUACGUGCCAGCAGCCGCGGUAAUACGUAUGGAGCAAGCGUUAUCCGGAUUUACUGGGUGUAAAGGGAGCGUAGGCGGUAAGGCAAGUCUGAUGUGAAAACCCAGGGCUCAACCCUGGGACUGCAUUGGAAACUGUUUAACUGGAGUGUCGGAGAGGCAAGUGGAAUUCCUAGUGUAGCGGUGAAAUGCGUAGAUAUUAGGAGGAACACCAGUGGCGAAGGCGGCUUGCUGGACGAUGACUGACGCUGAGGCUCGAAAGCGUGGGGAGCAAACAGG